rnacentral:rRNA from 1 species
UGGGGAAUAUUGCGCAAUGGGGGAAACCCUGACGCAGCGACGCCGCGUGAGCGAAGAAGGCCUUAGGGUUGUAAAGCUCUGUUUUAAGGGACGAAUGUCGUGGGGAGUAAUAUGCUCUGCGAAUGACGGUACCUUAAGAGGAAGCCCCGGCUAACCACGUGCCAGCAGCCGCGGUAAGACGUAGGGGGCGAGCGUUGUCCGGAAUUACUGGGCGUAAAGAGCACGUAGGCGGGAACUUAAGUCAGGUGUGAAAGACCGGGGCUCAACUCCGGGGUUGCACUUGAAACUGGGUUUCUUGAGGGCAGGAGAGGAAAGCAGAAUUCCUGGUGUAGCGGUGAAACGCGUAGAAAUCAGGAGGAAUACCAGUGGCGAAGGCGGCUUCCUGGACUGACCCUGACGCUGAGGUGCGAAAGCGUGGGUAGCAAACAG